rnacentral:rRNA from 1 species
AUACGUAGGUGGCAAGCGUUGUCCGGAUUUACUGGGUGUAAAGGGCGUGUAGGCGGAGAUGCAAGUCAGGAGUGAAAUCUAGGGGCUCAACCCCUAAACUGCUUUUGAAACUGUAUCCCUUGAGUAUCGGAGAGGCAGGAGGAAUUCCUUGUGUAGCGGUGGAAUGCGUAGAUAUUAGGAGGAACACCAGUGGCGAAGGCGGCCUGCUGGACGACAACUGACGCUGAGGCGCGAAAGCGAGGGGAGCAAACAGGAUUAGAUACCCUGGUAGUCCACGCUGUAAACGAUGAAUACUAGGUGUGGGGGGACUGACCCCCUCCGUGCCGCAGUUAACACAAUAAGUAUUCCACCUGGGGAGUACGAUCGCAAGAUUGAAACUCAAAGGAAUUGACGGG